UUUAUCAGCAACUCCCAUAACAGAUUCUCAAUAAUUAUCUCAUCAUAAUUCAGUUUAAGAACUAACAUCCUUUCACCAAUUAAAAUCAGAAUUUCACCCAGUCAUCAUUUAUUUUAAAAGUAAACCAGUCUAACUUUAAAAACUCAUAACUAAUUUUUUUCCAAAACCAUUCUUCAAUCAGUCACCAACCAAAUCCACUAACGUUACAAUAUAUCAAAUAACCAGCACAUCAUUUAAUUCAAUAUAAAUCCGUCAAAGAUCAGAAUUUCAGUCAAUUUGCA
rnacentral:lncRNA from 1 species